rnacentral:rRNA from 1 species
GACGAACGCUGGCGGCGUGCUUAACACAUGCAAGUCGAACGGAAAGGCACUGCUUUUGUGGGGUGCCGGAGUGGGGGACGGGUGAGUAUCACGUGAGUAACCUGCUCUUGACUUUGGGAUAAGUUCAGGAAACUGGGGCUAAUACCGUAUCGGAGCUGCUCCUGGAUUGUGGGGGUUGGAAAGUUUGGGCGGUCGGGGAUGGACUCGCGGGUUAUCAGCUUGUUGGUGGGGUGGUGGCUUACCAAGGCUGUGACGGGUAGCUGGCCUGAGAGGGUGAACAGCCAGAUUGGGACCGGAAGACAGGCCAGAGUCCUGAGGGGUGCAGCAGGGGGGAAAAUUUGACAAUGGGCGGACGCCUGAUGCAAGAACGCCGCCGGCGGGAAGACCGCCUUUGUGGUGAAAACCACUUUCGCCUGUAACGAAGCGUGAGUGAGGGUAAUGGGAAAAAAAGCACCGGCUAACUACGUG